rnacentral:rRNA from 1 species
UACGGGGGGGGCAAGCGUUAUUCGGAAUUACUGGGCGUAAAGGGCUCGUAGGUGGCCAACUAAGUCAGACGUGAAAUCCCUCGGCUUAACCGGGGAACUGCGUCUGAUACUGGAUGGCUUGAGUGUGGGAGAGGGAUGCGGAAUUCCAGGUGUAGCGGUGAAAUGCGUAGAUAUCUGGAGGAACACCGGUGGCGAAGGCGGCAUCCUGGACCGACACUGACGCUGAGGAGCGAAAGCCAGGGGAGCAAACGGG